rnacentral:rRNA from 1 species
GUCUAAGUAUAAGCAACUAUACGGUGAAACUGCGAAUGGCUCAUUAAAUCAGUUAUCGUUUAUUUGAUAGUACCUUACUACAUGGAUAACCGUGGUAAUUCUAGAGCUAAUACAUGCUAAAAACCUCGACUUCGGAAGGGGUGUAUUUAUUAGAUAAAAAACCAAUGCCCUUCGGGGCUCCUUGGUGAAUCAUAAUAACUUAACGAAUCGCAUGGCCUUGCGCCGGCGAUGGUUCAUUCAAAUUUCUGCCCUAUCAACUUUCGAUGGUAGGAUAGUGGCCUACCAUGGUAUCAACGGGUAACGGGGAAUUAGGGUUCGACUCCGGAGAGGGAGCCUGAGAAACGGCUACCACAUCCAAGGAAGGCAGCAGGCGCGCAAAUUACCCAAUCCCGACACGGGGAGGUAGUGACAAUAAAUACUGAUACAGGGCUCUUUUGGGUCUUGUAAUUGGA